CCGACUAAAUAGAGUGAUGGAUGGACGGGACAACCCGUCCGCCAAUCAGUCACUCAAGUGACCAUGCGCGUGCGGAGUCAUGCACUGCAGGCUAAUAGGACAGCAUGCACAACUCGCGUGCUCACACUGGUGCAUAGGCUUGGGUGCGUGCUGUCACAUCAUAUAUGUGACAAUCUGCGCAUGUGCGUAGGCAUGAGUUGUAUGGUCAUAUCCGUGACGUGACCGUGCUGCUUGUGCAGCUAGCUCACGGGCGUUGCGGGCCGUUCCUGCGUGUUAGUGGGUCUUCUCCCUUUGAUGUUCUAUUUUAUCUUCAUUUUAUUCUUUUUAAAAAAUUUCUCAAUCAUUUUG
rnacentral:lncRNA from 1 species